GAAACAUCUUCGGGUUGUGAGGUUAAGCGACUAAGCGUACACGGUGGAUGCCCUGGCAGUCAGAGGCGAUGAAGGGCGUGCUAAUCUGCGAUAAGCGCCGGUAAGGUGAUAUGAACCGUUAUAACCGGCGAUACCCGAAUGGGGAAACCCAGUGUGAUUCGUCACACUAUCAUUAACUGAAUCCAUAGGUUAAUGAGGCGAACCGGGGGAACUGAAACAUCUAAGUACCCCGAGGAAAAGAAAUCAACCGAGAUUCCCCCAGUAGCGGCGAGCGAACGGGGAGGAGCCCAGAGCCUGAAUCAGCAUGUGUGUUAGUGGAAGCGUCUGGAAAGGCGCGCGAUACAGGGUGACAGCCCCGUACACAAAAGCGCAUGUGCUGUGAGCUCGAUGAGUAGGGCGGGACACGUGGUAUCCUGUCUGAAUAUGGGGGGACCAUCCUCCAAGGCUAAAUACUCCUGACUGACCGAUAGUGAACCAGUACCGUGAGGGAAAGGCGAAAAGAACCCCGGCGAGGGGAGUGAAAAAGAACCUGAAACCGUGUACGUACAAGCAGUGGGAGC
rnacentral:rRNA from 1 species